ACAGCUCGAGACCCGACCCAACCGGAACUCCCGCGUCCGGCAACGACACGACGGCGCACCGGUCAUGUUAGACGCGUCUUGUGGUCGUGGUUCUGCCUAUGGUCACAGAUCGUCCAUGCAUGGAGCGAGGAGAGAGAACGGAAGCCCGAAAGCUUCGAGUUUUCCGGCAAAGUUUCUGCAAUUUCCGGCGAUCUUCGGGGCUGCAUGAGCGGAGCCGCUGUCCUCCUUGGUCGUCCUUUGCUUCUGGGUUCGUCGCCGACCUUCUGGAGCAUGGAUUGGUAUCUGUUGGAGCUCGAUUCCUUGAGUGGGUUGAAUUGGGAGACUGCAGUUAAAUUUGGGUUCCAGAAAAUUCAAAGCUAAGGAAAGAGAAAGUAAGAACAAAGCGAAUAAUUGAACUUUGGAAGGAAGGAAUGAUGGAACCGAUCAUUAAGGGUCUUGAAUUGAAUUUGGGUUUAUUUACGAGUUAUGGUACGUGGUGUUGAGUGCUUUUGUUUGACUGAACCAGAACUGCCUUCUCCUCCUUACUGUUGUUUCUAGUCCAACAAUCCAGCAAGAAGGAAGAGUUUAAUCUAAAGAUUUUACAAGGUAAGUGAGAGGUCACCUUGGAUAAUUAUUGUUGGACCCGACUAUAUAUGAUGGGUAUAUUUUGGUGAAAGUAGUAGGCUACUGUAAAAGUGCAAUGAUGUGGUUUUGAUCAAUUGACAAGAGUUGUAAACUAGUUCUAUUUGUAAGGUGGAAUUGAUAUCCUAAUUAAGCAAGUAGUGACAAAAAUGUUAAAAGGUGACGUUGCCUUUAAAGGAAUUGAAGUACCACGUUGUUCAAUCCUUGGGAUUAAGUGGUUUUAAAUGUAGAGAUUGGUACUAUCUAAAAUAUGUGCAGUGAGCACAAUUAAAUACAAAUACAAGGUUGAGCUUAAUUUAUAAGCUUGGACAGAGACUCCAUAUAUUUAUUGGAAAUUGGAAGCUCAUCGAUAGUUAUUGGUAAAUUUUGGUCAAACUAGGGAAUGGUCGGACAAUUUAAUUUGUUGAGGUUUAUACAAUUAUUUCCCUUGUUAAUAUGGAAUCGUGUCGGAAUCUAGGACUCCAGUUACCCGAGGAACGGAAGGUUCGUGACUCUCAGAGUACGUGAAGAAAAGCAUCGGAAUCCAAGUAGGGGACUCGGGACUCAUUCGGUUAGUUGUUUUCCGUUUUGGAUUAAAUGUUUAUGCAUAUUUGAGUUGCAUGGUUUGGUUAUUGAUGGCUUGAGAGUGAGUGGAACAUAGCGAUUCCUUGGGCUUCGAUCCCUUAAACCUCCGGAGGGGCCGUAUGGACGGAAUGGUGUCUGACAUCCUCUGAGAUGUGGCACUAUUUCUAGGUGAUAUAGCAUAAGUGGACACUCUCACUACGCUUACCUGGUGAUGAUUUUAUUUGAGGUAAGGCCGUGUAGUUGGUCCAUGGGACCGGCCAUCAGGUAUUAUGCAUUUCUUUGAGUUUUGUGCUUUGGAUUUUGAGUCCGAAAGAUAUUUGAAGUUUGUCGUUCUUUAAAGAAAUGGUUUAACUUUUUCAUACUUGGUACCCAAAUUUCUAUUUUGUGUGUCGGUUUUCAAACCUAGUCGGGUGAAGCCCCUAUUGAGCAGCGAGGACGAAAACUCACCCCUACAACAGUGUGGAUGCAGGUACUGUGCAUUGGUAACGGGAUUGGAGCGGAUGGAGUUGGGUGUGCGGAUUUCAGUAAUGUAUCUCUGUGUAAACCAGGUUCCUAGUUCCAAAUCCUAUCCUUGUUUCUACAAGUUGUAUUUCCGGAAUUUGUUGAAAACUGUUUUGUUGCGUGCUUAAUCCUUUAUUCCUCGAUUAUUUGCAACGUUAAGUCUUAGACGAACAUUUGAAUUUAAAGUUUUAGAAAGGUUUUCACCUCAAAAGAAUUUAAAAGCUUCCGUUGUGUAUUUUUGUGAAAAAAUUAUUUUGAACAAAUUUGCCUAGCGAAUUUCUAGAAUGUAAAAUUUAUUUUCGGUUUAUGUUUUAGAGAC